rnacentral:rRNA from 1 species
ACAGUGGGGAAUAUUGCACAAUGGGGGAAACCCUGAUGCAGCGACGCCGCGUGAGCGAAGAAGUAUUUCGGUAUGUAAAGCUCUAUCAGCAGGGAAGAAAAUGACGGUACCUGACUAAGAAGCCCGGCUAACUACGUGCC